GCGCGGGGCGGGCAGGCUUACACAUGCAAGUCGAGCGGGGAAGGGUAGCUUGCUACCUGACCUAGCGGCGGACGGGUGAGUAAUGCUUAGGAAUCUGCCUAUUAGUGGGGGGCAACAUUCCGAAAGGAAUGCUAAUACCGCAUACGCCCUACGGGGGAAAGCAGGGGAUCUUCGGACCUUGCGCUAAUAGAUGAGCCUAAGUCAGAUUAGCUAGUUGGUGGGGUAAAGGCCUACCAAGGCGACGAUCUGUAGCGGGUCUGAGAGGAUGAUCCGCCACACUGGGACUGAGACACGGCCCAGACUCCUACGGGAGGCAGCAGUGGGGAAUAUUGGACAAUGGGCGAAAGCCUGAUCCAGCCAUGCCGCGUGUGUGAAGAAGGCCUUUUGGUUGUAAAGCACUUUAAGCGAGGAGGAGGCUACCGAGAUUAAUACUCUUGGAUAGUGGACGUUACUCGCAGAAUAAGCACCGGCUAACUCUGUGCCAGCAGCCGCGGUAAUACAGAGGGUGCGAGCGUUAAUCGGAUUUACUGGGCGUAAAGCGUGCGUAGGCGGCUUUUUAAGUCGGAUGUGAAAUCCCUGAGCUUAACUUAGGAAUUGCAUUCGAUACUGGGAAGCUAGAGUAUGGGAGAGGAUGGUAGAAUUCCAGGUGUAGCGGUGAAAUGCGUAGAGAUCUGGAGGAAUACCGAUGGCGAAGGCAGCCAUCUGGCCUAAUACUGACGCUGAGGUACGAAAGCAUGGGGAGCAAACAGGAUUAGAUACCCUGGUAGUCCAUGCCGUAAACGAUGUCUACUAGCCGUUGGGGCCUUUGAGGCUUUAGUGGCGCAGCUAACGCGAUAAGUAGACCGCCUGGGGAGUACGGUCGCAAGACUAAAACUCAAUGAAUUUGACGGGGGCCCGCACAAGCGGUGGAGCAUGUGUUUAAUUCGAUGCAACGCGAAGAACCUUACCUGGUCUUGACAUAGUAAGAACUUUCCAGGAGAUGGAUUGGGUGCCUUCGGGAACUUACAUUACCAGUGC
rnacentral:rRNA from 1 species